rnacentral:rRNA from 1 species
UACAGAGGUCCCGAGCGUUGUUCGGAUUCAUUGGGCGUAAAGGGUGCGUAGGCGGCGGGGUAAGUCUGAUGUGAAAUCCUGGGGCUCAACCCCAGAACUGCAUUGGAUACUGCCUUGCUAGAGUACUGGAGAGGAAACUGGAAUUUACGGUGUAGCAGUGAAAUGCGUAGAUAUCAGGAGGAACACCUGCGGUGUAGACAGCUUACUGGACCACUUCUGACGCUGAGACACGAAAGCGUGGGUAGCAAACAGG